UCGAACGGGGUUUAUCCUGUAGCAAUACAGGAUGGACUCAGUGGCGGACGGGUGAGUAAUACGUAGGUAACCUACCCUCGGGAGGGGGAUAACUUCGAGAAAUCGUGGCUAAUACCGCAUAAGACCACGAGUUGGGAUGCUUGUGGUAAAAGUCCCGAGUAAUCGGGAUGCCUGGGGAUGGGUUUGCGGCCUAUCAGGUAGUUGGUAGGGUAAUGGCCUACCAAGCCUAUGACGGGUAGCCGGGCUGAGAGGUCGGACGGCCACACUGGGACUGAGACACGGCCCAGACUCCUACGGGAGGCAGCAGUGGGGAAUAUUGCGCAAUGGGGGAAACCCUGACGCAGCGACGCCGCGUGGAGGAUGAAGGCCUUCGGGUUGUAAACUCCUUUUCUUGGGGAAAAUUGUGAUGGUACUCAAGGAAUAAGCUACGGCUAACUCUGUGCCAGCAGCCGCGGUAAGACAGAGGUGGCGAGCGUUGUUCGGAAUUACUGGGCUUAAAGGGCGAGUAGGCGGUGAGGUAAGUCUAGGGUGGAAUCCUAUGGCUCAACUGUAGAACUGC
rnacentral:rRNA from 1 species